rnacentral:sRNA from 1 species
AUAAAUAUCAAAUAUAAAUAAUUCAAUGUUGGGUUCCCCUUAUAUCUGUUGAUAUAUGGCCGUGAGACGUACAAUGACGGGAUGGAGGUGAGUUACACUUGCUUUGCAAUUAGAGAAAGUCAGUGUAGAUGGAUCCGCGAGGUGUGCAUGAGUCAACCAGACUAAGAUACAUUUUCCUACGAUAAAAACAAAAAAUUGUAACAUAAGUAAGUAUACUAUAAUUUAGCAUGCAUAUCCAAAACAAGAGACCAAUGAAACAUUAUAUCACUUAUAACCAAAACAACACACCAUUUAUGUUGUAUCUCAUCUACAAUUAUACAUUAUGAUAUUUCUUUGGAAAAUUACAUAGUGAACUAUUUAAAAAAGUCUAACUGCGAUUAACAAGCUUCUACAUGAAAAUAUUGUUGU